rnacentral:tRNA from 1 species
ACCUGGCUGGCUCAGUCAAUAGAGCAUCCGACUCUUAAUCCCGGGGUUGUGAGUUCAAGUCUCGUGUUGGGCA